rnacentral:tRNA from 1 species
AUUCAAAUAGUUUAAUAAAAAUAUUAGUUUGUGGUUCUAAUGAUGAAUCUAUUUCUUUGAAUU